rnacentral:tRNA from 1 species
UGAUCGACUGGACCGAGGAGGGCGUCGUGCUGGCGGCACGGCGGCAUGGUGAGGCGGAUGUUCUGCUCUCGGCCCUGACCGCC